CCAACAUGGGCAUCCAGCAAGGUGGCUCUUGCCUGGCUCUGCCCAAGUGGCAUAUGGGAGCGCAGCUCUACUAGGGGCUAUGACGUAGAGUCCCAUUCCACAAUGUUGGACAGAAAGUUUUCCCCCUGUCUGAAAAGGCUGUUGGUGGAGGCGUCCUGUAUAUUCCUACAACUUCUCAGUAUUCAUGGUUACUGAGAAGACAAACCAUGCAGGACACAUGU
ensembl:snoRNA SNORA73 Small nucleolar RNA SNORA73 family